rnacentral:rRNA from 1 species
AUACGGAGGGUGCAAGCGUUACUCGGAAUCACUGGGCGUAAAGCGCGCGCAGGCGGUCUUUUAAGUUGGAUGUGAAAGCCUACGGCUCAACCGUAGAACUGCAUCCAAAACUAUUAGACUAGAGUGUGGGAGAGGAAGAUGGAAUUAGUUGUGUAGAGGUAAAAUCCGUAGAGAUAACUAGGAAUACCAAAAGCGAAGGCAAUCUUCUGGAACACUACUGACGCUGAGGCGCGAAAGCGUGGGGAGCAAACAGGAUUAGAAACCCGAGUAGUCC